AGAAAAUGGACAUUAAUCACAUUCAACAACAAUUUUCACAAGAUCACUUGGCAAAUUUACUUGAAAUACAGGGAGUAUUCUACCUCAUGUUCGAGGAUAACACAACUGUACUAGGCAUAAAUGCGGAGUCCACAGACUCAUCCAGUUGAUACUCGAGGCACUAGGGUGGUAGUCUGUAAGGAAACGAAUGGUUCCAUCAUUGCCGCAUGACACUGAAGAAUGGUGCGUAGAUCAAUGGGCUUCCAUCGUACAGCUCCCUCUAUAUAGAAUAGAACGGGUUAGCGAAGAUCUUGGAUGAGGGUGUAACCCAAAGCGAGGGGCAUAUGCAAUAAUUUAUGGUGGCAUGUACCUAUCAACCAUUACCCUCUAUAGGAAACCAUUGGAUUGUCGUCCAUGGAAGAUAAAAC
rnacentral:lncRNA from 1 species